GGGGCAUUGGUAUCUGGAAAGCUGGUGUGCAGAAGAGGAAUGUGGAUUUCCAUGUGUAGCGGUGAAGUGGGCUGUGAUAUGGAGUAACCCCAGUGGGUAAGGCGACUUACUGGUCUGUACCUGUCGGUGUUGUGCGAAGGCGAGGGGAUCAAACAGGUUUUGAUUCCCUGUUAAUCCACGCCGUAAACCAUGAAUGCUAACUCUUAGGGGGUUUCCGCCACUUAGUGCUGCAGCUGCCUCUAUCCCCGCCCCGGCUGGGUAGUCCGCCUGCCAGGUUGAAACACAAACCAAUUGACGCCGACCAGCACACUCGUUGGAGCAUGUGGUUUAAUUCAAAACAUCGCCAGGACCCUUACCAAAUCUUGUCAUCCUUUGACAACUCUAGAGUUCUACCCUUCCCCUUCGGGGGACAAAGUCACAGAUGGUGCAUGGU
rnacentral:rRNA from 1 species